ensembl:lncRNA
CCGAAGAAGCCGCGGAGGCCGAGGCAGCGCGAGCGCGGAUCCCGCGGCGGCCCGUCACCCCAGGCUCCUGCCCCAAGCUAUGGCCCUGGGAGGCCAGCACCCCGGAUCUGAUCCUGUAGCAGAGCAAGUAGGCUGCUAGGGAAACUGAGGCAGGGCACCUGAGCAGUGGGUGGGAACGCUGAGCCCUCCUGAGUGGGCGCUGAAACAGAGGGAGCGAAUCGGAGCCCAGGGACCCUACCCACAACUGGCGUCAUCCCCGCUUCCCGCAAGAUUUGUGCAGCCCUCACCGCUAGUUCCAGAACAUCCUGUGGCCCCAGAGGAAGAAGUCCCAUCCAACUCCAGGAGCAGUCCCCCUGCCCCGACCCUCCCAGCCCUGCACCCCCGAGGCCACUUCCUGUCUGUGGAGCCGCCUGUCCUGGGCGUUUCCUGUCCAUGGAGCCUACGCUGUGUCCUCCAUGUCUGGCGUCUCUCAUUGAGCAGGGAGUCCUCAAGGUCCGUCCACGCUGUGCCCAGCUACAGAAUAACUCCAGUUUGGCCUCGGGUCACAACUGAGACUUCAGUGAUCCAGUGAUGCUGUGAUUCUCCAGGACAAGAAACAGCCUGGGAGAACAAACAUCUGCUCAGUUCCUCAUUGUUCUUGGACUGAUUAACAUCUUGUUUGCCGGAGAUGUACUGAACUCUCUGCAAGCCUUCCGUUACACCUUGUUUAUCCCAAUGUGAACUAUUGAACUCUCUGCAAGUCAUUUGUUACAUUUGUUUCUCCCAAUGUACUGAAUAAAAGGUGCGGUAAGCUGGGGCCUUUGUCUUUGCU